rnacentral:rRNA from 1 species
CGCAUCUGUGCAUGCAGCAUAUCAAUAAGCGGAGGAAAAGAAACUAACAAGGAUUCCCCUAGUAACGGCGAGUGAAGCGGGAAGAGCUCAAAUUUGAAAUCUUAAAGGGUUUCCCUUUACGAAUUGUAGUUUAAAGAAGUGUUUUCUGUUGAGGUUUUGGUAAAAGUUCUUUGGAAUAGGACAUCAUAGAGGGUGAGAAUCCCGUAUUUGACCUUUACUUUCAACUUUGUGAUACACUUUCAAAGAGUCGGAUUGUUUGGGAAUGCAGUCCAAAAUGGGUGGUAAAUUUCAUCUAAAGCUAAAUAUUGGCGAGAUGACCGAUAGCGAACAAGUACCGUGAGGGAAAGAUGAAAAGAACUUUGAAAAGAGAGUUAAACAGUACGUGAAAUUGUCAAAAGGGAAGCGUUUGACACCAGUGUUGUUUUUCUGAAAAUCAAUUAAAGAACUGUUUAUGCUAAGCUGUUUAGACUUUAUCAGCUAACUGUUUAGUUUUGAGCUUUUCUUUAAUGCACUUUUCAGUUAACAAGUCAACAUCAAUUUCUUUUGCUGUAAAAAAGCUUGAGGAAGGUGGCUUGAGAUUCGUCUUAAGUGUUUAUAGCCUCUUGCCUAUGCAGUCGGAGAGAUUGAGGUCUGCAGCGUAGAUCCUUCGGGGCUAAAUGCAUUUGUGCUAAGUUAUAGCAUUUUAUAGACAACUUGUUGACUAUGAUUUGUCUUGUAGCUUACUCGCUUAUGUUAUUUUACCUACGCUUAGGAUGUUGAACGCGCACAGAGUCUC